rnacentral:rRNA from 1 species
AUUGAACGCUGGCGGCAUGCCUUACACAUGCAAGUCGAACGGCAGCGGGGGAGAAGCUUGCUUUUCCUGCCGGCGAGUGGCGAACGGGUGAGUAAUACAUCGGAACGUGCCCUGUAGUGGGGGAUAACUAGUCGAAAGAUUAGCUAAUACCGCAUACGACCUGAGGGUGAAAGUGGGGGACCGCAAGGCCUCAUGCUAUAGGAGCGGCCGAUGUCUGAUUAGCUAGUUGGUGGGGUAAAGGCCUACCAAGGCGACGAUCAGUAGCUGGUCUGAGAGGACGAUCAGCCACACUGGGACUGAGACACGGCCCAGACUCCUACGGGAGGCAGCAGUGGGGAAUUUUGGACAAUGGGCGAAAGCCUGAUCCAGCAAUGCCGCGUGUGUGAAGAAGGCCUUCGGGUUGUAAAGCACUUUAGGCUGGGAAGAAGAGUGUGGGAUGAAUAAUCCUGUACUUUGACGGUACCAGCAGAAUAAGCACCGGCAAACUCUGUGCCAGCCGCCGCGGUAA